AUGCUCCCUGAACCCCCUGGCCUGCCCUUCCCCAGCCCUGUGCUGCCCACCCCCAUCCAUGAGCCCCACCACCUUCCGCAGGCCUUCAUCCUUGACUGCACCCUCACCCUGCCCCACCCACCCCUCCCCACUGUCCAGUGUGUUGGGUCCAGAUCUGCUCCGGUCCUCCCAGCUCACUCAAGCCCGUGCCUCCAGUCCCCGGGACGCACAGUGCCCACCCCCACUCCUGCCUACCUUCCUUGCUGUUCCCGAGGCCCAGGUCCAAAGCCCCAUCCAGGAUGCCCUCAUGUCCACACCCCUCUGCUAUGGACUGGAUGUUUGUGUCCCCCCAAAAUCCACAUGUUGAAGCCUAACCCCCAAAGUGAUGGUAUUUGGAGCUGGACCUUAGGGUUAAAUGAGGUCAUGAGGGCGGGGCCCCAUGAGGGGGUUGGUGCCCUCAUAGGAGGAGACCUGGCUCUCCCUCCCACUCUCGGUCCUGCAGAAGGGCCAUCUGCAAACCAGGAAAUGGCUUUCACCAGACACGGGGCGAGCGGCAGCUUGACCUUGGACUUCAGCCUCCAGACGCGAGAAAUACACGUCUGCUGUGGAGCCCUCUGGUCCGUGGUUCUUUGUUAUGGCUGCCCGAGCCGCCCAAGACCCCAUCCUCAUCUCUGUCACCCAGAGGGGCCACUCUCAAAUUGCUCAGGCCUCAGCCUCAGUUUCCUCCUUUGCAAAAUGAGGACACUGACCCACAUCGCUGCAAUGGGCUCCUUGGGGCCCACCCCCAGGCUCCAGCACCUUUGGCCCCUGCCCUCAGCCACACACACCCAGGAAGGAGGGGAGCCCCAUGGCCCUGCAUCCCUCGCAUGGUCAGCCAUGCCCAGCCAGACCAUGAAAGCAUGGGCUCGAGGGCGUGGCUGCCCUGUGAAAGGUCUGGCCUCUCCCUGCCAUCUCCAAGGUGACAGGCCAACCCUGGCGUCAGGCAGGGCUGGGAUGCCUCUGUGGGUGGGCCAGGAAGGGAGGCAGGCCCCGGGGACAUGUCACUGA
rnacentral:lncRNA from 1 species